CGCUGGCGGCAUGCCUUACACAUGCAAGUCGAACGGCAGCGGGCCCUUCGGGGUGCCGGCGAGUGGCGAACGGGUGAGUAAUGCAUCGGAACGUACCCGGGAGUGGGGGAUAACCGGCCGAAAGGCUGGCUAAUACCGCAUGAACUCGGAAGAGCAAAGCGGGGGGACCUUCGGGCCUCGCGCUCUCGGAGCGGCCGAUGUCCGAUUAGCUCGUUGGUGAGGUAAAGGCUCACCAAGGCGACGAUCGGUAGCGGGUCUGAGAGGACGAUCCGCCACACUGGGACUGAGACACGGCCCAGA
rnacentral:rRNA from 1 species